UACAGGGGGUGCAAACGUUGCUCGGAAUCAUUGGGCGUAAAGCGCACGUAGGCGGUUCGUUAUGUCGGAUGUGAAAGCCCUUGGCUUAACCGAGGAAGUGCAUCCGAAACUGGCGAGCUAGAGUACUAAAGAGGAUCGCGGAAUUCCCGGUGUAGAGGUGAAAUGCGUAGAUAUCGGGAGGAACACCAGUGGCGAAGGCGACUUCUUGGCCUGUUCUUGACGCUGAGGCGCGAAAGCUGGGGGAGCAAACGGG
rnacentral:rRNA from 1 species